UGUCAUAUGAGAACUUCCCUCAACCCAAGUAGAGUAAAGGGGAGGUCUGUGAAUCCUCUGAAGUUGUAUGUAAUAUUUUGUGUGUCUGUGCAUAUGUGUACUUUUUUGGAGGAGAGGAUGCAUAGCAUUUAAGAGACUCAAAGGGGACCAUGAUGUGAAAAAUGAUAAAGAACGCUGGUUCUUAUGUUUCAUUUCUGGCCUCUUAUGUAACUUGAGGGGAAACUUUAGCCUUAAAAAUGUAUACUUUUGUCACCUAAAACAUGGCAGUGCGAAGAAUUUUCUUGCCAAACCAGACCCAUUUAAACUGUGUGGGUGGUAGGAGGGAUGAGUUCUAAUUCUGUCUCCAGAAUUUUUAUAGCCACCAUUAAGACUACUUUUAACUUCAGCUGACCUACUA
rnacentral:lncRNA from 1 species